rnacentral:rRNA from 1 species
GACGAACGCUGGCGGCGUGCUUAACACAUGCAAGUCGAGCGGUAAGGCCCUUUCGGGGGUACGACGAGCGGCGAACGGGUGAGUAACACGUGGGUGACCUGCCCUUAGCUCUGGGAUAAGCCUGGGAAACUGGGUCUAAUACCGGAUAUGACUCCAUAACGCAUGUUGUGGGGUGGAAAGCCUUGUGCGGCUAGGGAUGGGCCCGCGGCCUAUCAGCUUGUUGGUGGGGGUGAUGGCCACCAAGGCGACGACGGGUAGCCGGCCUGAGAGGGCGACCGGCCACACUGGGACUGAGACACGGCCCAGACUCCUACGGGA